UACGAAGGGGGGCUAGCGUUGUUCGGAAUUACUGGGCGUAAAGCGCACGUAGGCGGAUCGAUCAGUCAGGGGGUGAAAAUCCCCAGAGCUCAACUCUGGAACUGCCUUUUGAUACUGUCGAUCUAGAGUAUGGAAGAGGUGAGUGGAAAUUCCGAGUGUAGAGGUGAAAUUCGUAGAUAUUCGGAGGAACACCAGUGGCGAAGGCGGCUCACUGGUCCAUUACUGACGCUGAGGUGCGAAAAGCGUGGGGGAGCAAACAGG
rnacentral:rRNA from 1 species